rnacentral:rRNA from 1 species
ACGUAGGCAGCAAGCGUUGUUCGGAAUUACUGGGCGUAAAGAGUGUGUAGGUGGCGUCGUAAGUUUGGUGUGAAAUCUCCCGGCUUAACUGGGAGGGUGCGCCGAAGACUGCGAUGCUGGAGUAUGGGAGAGGAAAGCGGAAUUCCUGGUGUAGCGGUGAAAUGCGUAGAUAUCAGGAGGAACACCAAUGGCGAAGGCAGCUCGCUGGGACGUGACUGACGCUGAGACGCGAAAGCGUGGGGAGCAAACAGGA